AAUAAACCGGUUUGCAAUUUAAACCAGUUCAAGUAAUCAUCAAACCGCAUGAAUUCAAACGCAAACGCUAGCGUCAAGGGUUGCGAUUUUCGACAGCUAAAAAAAAACAGAUGAAAAUGACGUUCACGUGGACGCACUCGCAGGGUAUAAUAAAAACCUCUCUCACUCGCCACCAUCUCUUCACACUCCUCUCUCUUUAACUUCCGUAACUGCAUCCCACUAGUCUCUAAACGCAACGAACCAUAACAAACUUCCAUUUUCGAAUUUCAAAUUUUCGUCGAAAGCAUGAAGGUGAUCGCGUCGAGGAAUUCAAAGCGUAAGGCUGAGGCGUCGCCGUUCGCCGGGAAGAAGCUUCGCUCACGCCAGAAGAGAGCUCAGAUCUCUCCCUCACCUCUCCACCACAAGGAAGUAGGAGCACCCGCUGCUUCUGUAGAUUCCUGCUCCAAUUUGUUUUCUGCAGUCGACGACACUGUUUCAUGCGGUUCUAGCGUAGUCGAGAAGAGCUCGACGCUGAAGAAGACUCGAAUCGAAGAGGUAGAAGUUUCUGAUCGUGUGAUUGCUGAUCCGAAGUUUCGGAGGAUCACAAGAUCAUACUCUAAGCUAAACAGGGAGAAGGACGCAGAGGAGAUCGAAGUAAGCGAAUCGUCCUUCACGCGAUCCGACGUGACGUUCGCCGAGCACGUCUCCGAUAGCCGGAAUUUGAAUUUCGUUUCGGAGAGCGACGUCGUUUCGUUCAUAUCGGGUGUGGUCUCUUGCUCCAAGUUCGGGAGCGUAACUGGAGGAGGAGCCGAUAACAACGAAGAAACUGAAAUCUCCAAACCGAGCGGAUUCGCGGAACUGAAGCCGGAGCUCGUGACAGUCGGACGCGUCUCCGAUCUCGCUUGCACGGAGACGUUCUCCGGCGAAGAGGAUGAAUCGUCGGAGGCACGUUCCGAGACGCUUUCGCAGUACUCCUCCGACUUCGGUUUCUCGGAUUACACUCCGUCGAUGUUUCUCGAUUCCGGCAGCGAAUUCUCCGAGAAAUCAAACUCCGACUCUCCCGUUUCGCAUACUCGCUCUCUGUACCUCCAGUUCAUGGCGCAGUUCUGUAGAUCCACCGUUCCGAACGAUCUCGAAUCUUCUCGCCAUGAACAACACCGUGGUAUCCAGUCUGAACUGCUAAGGUUUGAAGAUGAAGAGGUUGAAGAGAGCUAUCAAAGGCUGAGGGAAAGGGAGAGAAGUCAUGCAUAUUUGCGUGACUGUGCUAAGGCUUACUGCUCCACCAUGGACCAUACUGAUCUCAUCCCUCGUCUACGCUUGAUCAUGGUUCAAUGGAUUGUGCAGCAAUGUUCUGAAAUGGAGCUUCAGCCAGAGACAUUGUUUCUAGGAGUUAGUCUGCUGGAUCGAUUCCUGAGCAAGGGAUCCUUCAACAACGAGAGGACUCUAGUACUAGUGGGGAUCGCGAGUCUUACUCUGGCCACCAGAAUUGAAGAAAAUCAACCUUACAAUAGCAUCCGGAAAAGGAACUUCUACAUCCAGAACCUAAAGUAUAGCCGGCAUGAAGUGGUGGCAAUGGAGUGGCUGGUUCAAGAAGUCCUCAACUUCAAAUGCUUCUCACCCACAAUCUUUAGCUUCUUAUGGUUCUACCUAAAAGCUGCCCGAGCCAACCCAGAAGUUGAAAGGAAAGCCAAAUCCUUGGCCGUUACCUCACUAUCCGAUCACACCCAACUCUGUUUUUGGCCCUCAACUGUAGCAGCCGGACUCGUAGUUCUCGCCUGCAUUGAACACAACAAGAUCUCAGCCUACCAACGAGUCAUAAAGGUUCAUGUUAGAACAGAAGAUAACGAGCUGCCUGAAUGCGUCAAGAGCCUGGAAUGGUUGCUUGAGCAGUAAGCAAUCCACAACAACAAAUACCCAACACCAGACCACACAGUAUACUCAAACACGAUCUCACAGAUGCGGAGUCGGUAUCAGAGUUUCCGGAACCUAAGGAGCAAACAGUUGUAACAGAGACAAGCUACAGAAAAGAUGAAGCAUCUGUGACGCCUUCAACAUCCAAGGAUCAAAUUAAGAAGAGCUUUGCGUUGACCGAUGCAAUGAUGAACAGUUUCGAUAGUUUAGAGAGCAUGGUGAGAAUCAAGGAGGCUGAGACAAGAAUGUUUCAGAAGAAA